rnacentral:rRNA from 1 species
UGAAUCUCGGUAAUCAAUGGCCAUAGACGUGUUGUACAUUGGAACACACGACGAGAUAGGUGAAUCGAGGAGGCCGGGACAGAGAUGGAUACUCUGGAAAAAGACGGCCUGAGAAUUUGAUCAUCGUGUCAAGAUGAGCGUCAGGGGAAGGCCAUAACACAUGCAAGCCGAGCGGUAUUGUUUCUUCGGAAAUGAGAGAGCGGCGUACGGGUGCGGAACACGUGUGCAACCUGCCUUUAUCUGGGGGAUAGCCUUUCGAAAGGAAGAUUAAUACUCCAUAAUAUAUUGAACGGCAUCGUUUAAUAUUGAAAGCUCCGGCGGAUAGAGAUGGGCACGCGCAAGAUUAGCUAGUUGGUGAGGUAACGGCUCACCAAGGCGAUGAUCUUUAGGGGGCCUGAGAGGGUGAUCCCCCACACUGGUACUGAGACACGGACCAGACUCCUACGGGAGGCAGC